rnacentral:lncRNA from 1 species
AGGUAACACUUGAAGCCAUUUUUUGCAGAGAACUGCACAAACAGCCACGGCUGCUGACAGUCAGUGGUUCCAAGGCAGAUGGAGAAAACACCCACAGAUGGCCGCAAGUUCCCUUGGGGCCUAGUGAAUCCUGGUGAGGCCUUCAAGAAGAGCGGACUCAAGUUACACGGGAUAUGCUGAUGCUGGCCUCUCCUCUUCAUGUGAAGAGCUCACUUCUGCCCAGUCAUUUGCAAACUUCGCACAAAUGGAAUUUCCAAACUCGGGUUGGAAGAAAGCACCUUGAUUUCCUCCUACUCACAUCGUGAAGAACAUCAAAGGCUUUGAUAAAUGAUGAAAGGAGGUAAUAUGCUAGGCACAGAUGAAACCCUCCCUCCACUCCAUUCGGACUGUCAGGAGAGUAAUUGAUGCGUCUCCCAGGUCAGCAAUAGUUUCUCAUCACCAACGCCUGGUGUCCUGUUGGGAACUGACCAUGUCAUUUCAUCUAAUUCUCCGUUGGUGAUUGCUGUCUUGAUAUCAAACCACUCAACGUGCAAGAUCUAGGCAUGUGAUGUGAGCUUCAUCCCCAGUCUCUUUAUAAUAUGUUCUGUCUUUCACUCCUUCACAAACCAAGCGAUAAUCUUACACAAUUAAAAAAAAAAAAAACCUGUCUAGAUAUCUCUGAAGGUGUCUACAGAGGGCAUACUCUUUCCACUUUAAGAAAACAAAAACUUGUUAGUUGAUGACCAUGUUCUGAAUAAAAUUAUACUCUCCCAUCCAUUUUACUUUGAAAUAAACUUGCAUCUUUGAGGCAAAGCAGC